AGAGUUUGAUCCUGGCUCAGAACGAACGCUGGCGGCGUGGAUAAGACAUGCAAGUCGAGCGAGAUUUUUCGUUGUAGCAAUACGAUGGAAAGUCUAGCGGCGAACGGGUGCUUAACACGUGGGCAACCUGCCAUGAAGUGGGGGAUAGCUCGCCGAAAGGCGAAUUAAUACCGCAUGUGAUUAGAGAGGACAUCCUUUCGAAAUUAAAGUCGGGGCAACCUGACGCUUCUUGUGGGGCCCGCGGCCUAUCAGCUAGUUGGUGAGGUAACGGCUCACCAAGGCUUUGACGGGUAGCUGGUCUGAGAGGACGACCAGCCACACUGGGGCUGAGACACGGCCCAGACACCUACGGGUGGCAGCAGUCGAGAAUUUUUGACAAUGGGGGAAACCCUGAUCGAGCGACGCCGCGUGGAGGAUGAAGGUCUUCGGAUUGUAAACUCCUGUCAUUUGGGAACAAGGUGUGCGCGUUAACUGCGCGCGCAUUGAUAGUACCAGAAGAGGAAGGGACGGCUAACUCUGUGCCAGCAGCCGCGGUAAUACAGAGGUCUCAAGCGUUGUUCGGAUUCAUUGGGCGUAAAGGGUGCGUAGGCGGCGCGGUAAGUCGGGUGUGAAAUCUCGGAGCUUAACUUCGAAACUGCAUUCGAUACUGCCGUGCUUGAGGACUGGAGAGGAGACUGGAAUUUACGGUGUAGCGGUGAAAUGCGUAGAUAUCGUAAGGAAGACCAGUGGCGAAGGCGGGUCUCUGGACAGUUCCUGACGCUGAGGCACGAAGGCCAGGGGAGCAAACGGGAUUAGAUACCCUAGUAGUCC
rnacentral:rRNA from 1 species